AGAGUUUGAUCAUGGCUCAGAGCGAACGUUAGCGGCGGGCUUAACACAUGCAAGUCGUGCGAGAAAGUUGCCUUCGGGCAGCGAGUAAAGCGGCGCACGGGUGAGUAACACGUGGGUAACCUGCCUCUUGGAUUGGGAUAACAGCUCGAAAGGGCUGCUAAUACCGGAUACGUCGGUGCUCCCUCCGGGGAAUACCGGGAAAGGUGGCCUCUACUUGUAAGCUACCGCCAAGAGAUGGGCCCGCGUCCCAUCAUGCUUGUUGGUGAGGUAACGGCUCACCAAGGCUAAGACGGGUAGCUGGUCUGAGAGGAUGAUCAGCCACACUGGGACUGAGACACGGCCCAGACUCCUACGGGAGGCAGCAGUGGGGAAUAUUGGACAAUGGGCGAAAGCCUGAUCCAGCCACGCCGCGUGAGUGAUGAAGGCCUUCGGGUCGUAAAGCUCUGUGGGGAGGGACGAACAAGCACGGGGUAAAUAAUCCCGAGCCCUGACGGUACCUCCUUAGCAAGCACCGGCUAACUCCGUGCCAGCAGCCGCGGUAAUACGGAGGGUGCAAACGUUGCUCGGAAUUACUGGGCGUAAAGCGCGUGUAGGCGGCUAAGUAAGUCUGGCGUGAAAGCCCUGGGCUUAACCCAGGAAGUGCACCUGAUACUGCUUAGCUUGAGUACGGGAGAGGGUAGUGGAAUUCCCGGUGUAGAGGUGAAAUUCGUAGAUAUCGGGAGGAACACCAGUGGCGAAGGCGGCUACCUGGACCGAUACUGACGCUGAGACGCGAAAGCGUGGGGAGCAAACAGGAUUAGAUACCCUAGUAGUCC
rnacentral:rRNA from 1 species